GACAGUUUGGCCGAGUGGUCUAAGGCGCUGGCUUAAGGCGCAGUCCGAAAGGGCGUGGGUUCGACCCCACAGCUGUCA
rnacentral:tRNA from 1 species